GAAAUGCGAUACGUAAUGUGAAUUGCAGAAUUCCGUGAAUCAUUGAAUCUUUGAACGCAACUUGCACUCAGAUCUCUCUGAGUAUGCCUGUUUGAGAAUCUUUAAAUUCUUUGACUAGUUUGGUCGAGAUUUGGGCAAUUCAUAAGUGAUUGCUUUAAUUAGAUAACUGGCCGCAGGUGCUAACGAUAGCUUGGGCCAAAGUGUAUGAAGGGUUCGCCCACGUCCUUUGGCUUUGUUAUUAGCCUGGGGAGAAGUUAGCCUAACGGCAGAGAUUUCUAGGAAUCUGAACCUCUGGUCUCAAAUCAGGUAGGAAGACCCGCUGAACUUAA
rnacentral:misc_RNA from 1 species